CAAUCACAAGUUGUUUUCAUCUUUCCGCCUGUCGGUCAAAUGCACGUCUCAAGAAUGUUUCAAAUGUCCUCUACUCAACGGAUCAUCACCAUGAGCUGGAUGUAUGUCUUUCUACCCAUCGUCUGGGGUGCUGUUGUGUCCUCUUACACAGCGGAGUUGACCGUGAAUCCAGGAGAAAACGUUACUCUAAGCUGUGACUAUAAACCAUCAACUGGUGAAAAUAUUGUGUGGUACAGGAACUGUUCUCAUGAGAAUCAGCCCACUCGUAUUCUGAGGUGGGAUGAAUUAAGAGAGAAUAAAGACUCCAAUUCAUCCAAGGAUCUGAAUGUGAUGUGGAACAAUUCUUCAAAAUCAUACAAUUUACUGAUUAGGAACAUCAGUGAUUCUCACCUUGGUCUCUACUACUGUGGAACUGAAAAACGGUUGUGAUAGAUGCAGACAAAAUAUUUCAAAAAUAUAUCCUCAGAUAUGGAAAUGUGACCACAAGGAUUUCAUUUGUCUAUACAAACCCUGAGCUUUUAUCUCCAGAUAAAAGUGCAGGAUAUUGUUAAGCCUCUUGAUGCAUGUGAAGACUGUGGAGAGUGCUGGAGGCUGCUGGUCAUCCUAUGUUCCUCCUGUGCUCUUCUCCUCUCCCUCCUCUCAUUCUCGGUCGUCUACCUCUGUUGCAGAAGGAAAGAUGAAGACCUCCACGUUGCUCAGGGAACACCCAGCAGUAUUGAUGUAACACCUAUCAGGAACCAGGAUGAGGAUGGCCUGUGUUACGCUACACUGGAUAUCCCUUUACGUUCUCAGAGACCUAAAAAGAAGAGAGUCCAACCCUCAGAGUUCAGCACCUACUCAGCCAUCAAUACUAAGAGGAUGUGACCAUGACCAAGCCUUUUAAUAUAAAUACAAGGGCUCUAAUUCUUCAAUAUGACUUCAACUUUGUGCUUUCUAGAGGAGGCAGACAAUAUCAUUUUCAGAUUCACUCUCAAUAAAAUGCAUGUGAUAUAGUAAAGCUUGUUGGGAAGUAUGUUCUAAAUACCAUGUACUGUUUCCAUAUUGUUUGUCAAUAGUAUAAGUCCAAUAAUGCAUUUUUGGCUAUGUUUAUUCACUACAUUAUCAGAUAUUGUCUGUUGUUCAUUGUUUACUAUGAAGUAAGAUGGAGUGAACAGAAAUGUACAAAGGACUCUUUUGUAUCAGGUUAUGAUCUGGAGCUAGCUAAAGCUAUUCUGCGUGGGUUGUCAUUUUUGCUUGGCAGUCUCUACUCCUUGUCUUACAAGUAGGAUGCUGGCAGCCUCUUAAACAUCCCAAGAACACAUCAUUAUAACAAAAAUCCCUUUAACAUUUUACAAAAAGGCUCCAUUAAUUUACCAUUAAUUAGCAUUAUUUAUUAUAGUAAUACAGUUAAUUAAGUCUUCAUUCAAAAAUUAUUAAAUCUAUAAAUAUAGUGUUAAAGGAAAACAAUGGGAUUUCUUCAACCUGUACGGUUCUAAGGGACUAAUACAGACAACAAUAUUUGAUGGUCCAGUAUUGAGCGAGAAGGUAAACCGGAAAAAUGGGGAAUCUACUAUUUUCGAACACAGUGG
ensembl:lncRNA